rnacentral:rRNA from 1 species
GCUUAACACAUGCAAGUCGAACGAAGCAUUUGCGACAGAUUUCUUCAGAUUGAAGUUGCUUAUGACUGAGUGGCGGACGGGUGAGUAACGCGUGGGUAACCUGCCUCACACAGGGGGAUAGCAGUUGGAAACGGCUGAUAAUACCGCAUAAGCGCACAGUACCGCAUGGUACAGUGUGAAAAACUCCGGUGGUGUGAGAUGGACCCGCGUCUGAUUAGCUGGUUGGCGGGGUAACGGCCCACCAAGGCAACGAUCAGUAGCCGACCUGAGAGGGUGACCGGCCACAUUGGGACUGAGACACGGCCCAGACUCCUACGGGAGGCAGCAGUGGGGAAUAUUGCACAAUGGAGGAAACUCUGAUGCAGCGACGCCGCGUGAGUGAAGAAGUAAUUCGUUAUGUAAAGCUCUAUCAGCAGGGAAGAUAGUGACGGUACCUGACUAAGAAGCUCCGGCUAAAUACGUGCCAGCAGCCGCGGUAAUACGUAUGGAGCAAGCGUUAUCCGGAUUUACUGGGUGUAAAGGGAAUGUAGGUGGCAUCACAAGUCAGAAGUGAAAGCCCGGGGCUCAACCCCGGGACUGCUUUUGAAACUGUGGAGCUGGAGUGCAGGAGAGGCAAGUAGAAUUCCUAGUGUAGCGGUGAAAUGCGUAGAUAUUAGGAGGAACACCAGUGGCGAAGGCGGCUUGCUGGACUGUAACUGACACUGAGGCUCGAAAGCGUGGGGAGCAAACAA